GACGAACGCUGGCGGCGCGCCUAACACAUGCCAGUCGAACGAGCGAGAGAGAGCUUGCUUUCUCGAGCGAGUGGCGAACGGGUGAGUAACGCGUGAGGAACCUGCCUCAAAGGGGGUGACAACAGGUGGAAACGACUGCUAAUACCGCAUAAGCCCACGACCCGGCAUCGGGUAGAGGGAAAAGGAGCAAUCCGCUUUGAGAUGGCCUCGCGUCCGAUUAGCUAGUUGGUGAGGUAACGGCCCACCAAGGCGACGAUCGGUAGCCGGACUGAGAGGUUGAACGGCCACAUUGGGACUGAGACACGGCCCAGAAUCCUACGGGAGGCAGCAGUGGGGAAUAUUGCACAAUGGGGGAAACCAUGAUGCAGCGACGCCGCGUGGAGGAAGAAGGUAUUCGGAUUGUAACCUCCUGUUGUUGAGGAAGAUAAUGACGGUACUCAAAAAGGAAGUGACGGCUAACUACGUG
rnacentral:rRNA from 1 species